AUAUCAGACCCAUUAUGUAGCCAAGUGACUUUCAAUAUUAGCAAUAAUUUAAAUCCAUUUAUAAAACUUGUAUUUAAUAAUGUACCAAUUAGAAAAUUAGAUGAAAAACAAAUACCAUUGAAAUUAAAUGAAGUAUUUAAAAAGCUAAUUAACGAUGAAGAUUAUUUUGACCUAGAAGAACUAAAAAAAUGUAUUAAAAAAUUUAAGCUUAUUGACCUAAGAAAUCUAGAAUCUGGAUUUAAUUCUAUUUUACCAUUCCUAAUAAUUUUUGACUUUUUGUAUGGAAAGAAUAAAUCAGACUUAGACGAAAUAUUGAACACAAAAAGAAUUUUUAAUAAACUUCUCAGUGAAGAUAUCUUGUUUUGGAAAAAUAUUUUAAGAGAUUAUUUAUUAAAUGAUCAC